GCUGUAGCUCAGUGGAAGAGCAUCUGCCUCUCAUGCAGAACGUCCCAGGUUCAAUCCCCGGCGUCUCCA